rnacentral:rRNA from 1 species
AGUGAACGCUGGCGGUAGGCCUAACACAUGCAAGUCGAACGGCAGCACAGUAAGAGCUUGCUCUUACGGGUGGCGAGUGGCGGACGGGUGAGGAAUACAUCGGAAUCUACUUUUUCGUGGGGGCUAACGUAGGGAAACUUACGCUAAUACCGCAUACGACCUACGGGUGAAAGCAGGGGAUCUUCGGACCUUGCGCGAUUGAAUGAGCCGAUGUCGGAUUAGCUAGUUGGCGGGGUAAAGGCACACCAAGGCGACGAUCCGUAGCUGGUCUGAGAGGAUGAUCAGCCACACUGGAACUGAGACACGGUCCAGACUCCUACGGGAGGCAGCAGUGGGGAAUAUUGGACAAUGGGCGCAAGCCUGAUCCAGCCAUACCGCGUGGGUGAAGAAGGCCUUCGGGUUGUAAAGCCCUUUUGUUGGGAAAGAAAAGCAGCAGGUUAAUACCCCGCUGUUCUGACGGUACCCAAAGAAUAAGCACCGGCUAACUUCGUG